CAAGUACUCCCUCCGUCCGGAAAUACUUGUCGAAAAAAAUGGAUGUAUCUAGAUGUAUUUUAGUUCUAGAUAUAUCAUUUUUAUCUAUUUCUUUGACAAGUAUUUUGGGACAGAGGAGUAUUUA
rfam:Triticum aestivum genome assembly, contig: Triticum_aestivum_CS42_TGACv1_scaffold_251106_3DL